CGCACCGGGGGACACACACUGGUUUCCUCUGGAGCGCAGAGACAGGACCCGAGGGAAUGGCCUGAAGUUGUGUCAGGGCAGGUUUAGGUUGUGUAUCAGAAGGUGCUUCACCCAGAGAGUGCCUGGGCACUGGAACAGCUGCCCAGGGCAGCGGUCACAGCAGCCGCCUGACAGAGCUCAGGAAGUGUUUGGACAGUGCUCUGGUGUGAUACUGUGUAGGGCCAGCAGUUGGACUCAAUGAUCCUUGUCGUCCCUUCCUGCCCAGCUCAUUCUGUGAUUUUAGAUAUGUAUGUGUAUCUAUCUGUUGGUGCACAUUGUGCAUGGAUGUGUGUGUGAAGGUACGUGUGUAUGAAAGCACACACACGUGCAUAUUUACACAAACAGAAAUACACCCCCUACUUGCCGUCCCAUUCACGGGAUGCCACCCCAGCUGCCUGCUGGUGCUGCUGGCAGCCUUAUGGCAGAGCUGCCGCCGCACAGGCUGUGCCCAGGCUGGAUGGUGACAAGGCCAACCCCCUUGUCAUGGCGUGGCAGGGCAGCUGGGGUGGCUGAACCUGCUGCUGGCUGAUUGUGGCCCCUCGGAGUCAUUUCUGGAUGCAUCGGGCUGUCUCUGUCAGAAAAAAAGUAAUCUGUGCUGCUGAUAGCACCAUGGCUUAUUUUUAGAGGCCACUGUGUUCUACUUUAUGGAGUGUUGCCAGAUAUUCUAUUUUAUAGGCUAGAGGUAAUUCCUUCUUCAAGGAUAUUCAAGUAUCAUUUCAAGGAACACAUUUUCUGUAAAGCCCACAAUAUUAUGACUUCUGAAAUCCAUCCUUUCUGUAACUAAGCUUGUGUAUGUUGCAAUAGUUUGCAAAGUCUGAACAUUGUAAUUGAAACAUAAAAUCAAUUGAAAUAAUUAUUUAAUAUUUUUUAUGAAACAAUGUAUGCUGCAGAAAAGUCUUGUCUAAGUGGUUGCUGUGGAUGGUGCUAAAUGACUAAUUUGAUUUUUGUAGAAGUGUUUCUAGCUGCACUUUGCAACAUAAAUAUCUUGAAGAAAUUAAACAGUAAAACAUGUAGCUUCCUUGAGGACUGCUCUUAAAGUGUUUUAUUUUUUUAUAUUGGUUUUCAUUUUUGUUUAGUCUUGUAGAAGCCUUUCUUUUGCAUCUUUCUAGUGGUGCAAAUGAAGCUGAGGCACAGUACUAGCAGAGGUGGAUAGAAAUGAUAGGAUAAUAGCCUAGAAGACUACUGAACCGUCUGAGAUAAGGGAAGUAGUAUUGUGAAGCCUGGCUCCAUAUAUUUUGGGUACCCAUAUGAAUAAUAUUGAGAUUUUGUGCUGUUUUGUCGAGCCAUGGCCAGAAACUCUUGGAGAAGGAAGGUCAUGGGUGUUUGAUUGCUUGAUUAAAGACUUUUAAAGCCUUUUUUUUUGUAGUUUCAAAAUGAGAAUACUUUGUAAGAAGUUUAAUUAUUGUAUUACUAAAAACAGACUCUGUUGGGGUUUUUUUAUGCUUCAUGUUUUUUAACAUCCUGUAAAACAGUAUUCCCAGAAGAGCAUCAGAUGUAAUCUUCUAGAGGAGAAUUGUAGUGUCAUCCUAAAUGGCCUUGACCCAUAAACUCUGUCCCUGGACUGACCAGUGGAUCAUGGGAAGUGGCAUACUGGACUUUAGUUUCUUAUGUGUAGGAUGAGGACAAUAACUCCUGUCACUCGGACAGUAACUUCUGUCACUCAGGAGAAUCCCAGCCUGCUAUUAGUCAAACCAGUUGUUUAUUGCCUUCUGAAGGUGCCUCAUUGCUGCAAACACGGCGGAGGACAGCUAACAGUCAGUGUCUCAUUAACAGAAGCAAUCCCUUAGGAUUAAGUCACUUGCACCACUUCAGAGUUGCUAUUAGCCUUCCUGCUGCUAGCAGUUAGAGGGUUAAUUAGGAUUCUCCCAUUCUGGAUUCACACAUCGAUUGUGCUUUCCUCCAGCAAGUACUGCACAUCUACACAAGCUGCAGGUUUAACUUUAUUAUGCUUCAAAGUAAUACCAUUAGUUGUAUUGUCAAAUAAUUAGUCCUUAGGGUAUUCCUCUCGGUGCUUUGCAGAACUGCAAUUCCACCAGCUUUCCUGGAAAGGUUUCCCUUAGGUCCCAUUAUUUCCAAGUUCAGUCUUCUUCGAAGUUGAAAUGCCUGCUUAAAUGUUUUACAGAUAUACAUGAUGAACACAAGGAAAAACAGUGAGAGGCCAAAUCCUGCUACCUCUUGUACAUAUUACUUACAUGAGUAUUACCCUCUAGCUUAUGCAAAUGUUGCAAAUAAAAUCUUGUAUGUGCAUAAGUGUUAGGGGACAAUGCCCAUACUGUGUGUAGCUGCAUGUUUUAUGUCUGAAUUUAUAUCCCUACAUUUGUGCUUUCAACAAUGUUGAAUGUUUUUUCUUCACACCCAUCUGAUUACGCUAGAAUAUUUGUUUAAUCUUUCACUUUUGUGCAUUUGUCCCUAUCUUCUGUCCUAUCAUUCUGUUACAUUCCCCUUUUCUGCUACUUAAUUCAGUCUGUCUGUUCUUCCAUUUGCUCUCAGAUACUGUCUUUGUAAUUUGACAUAACAUGCCAGAUUUUCUAACUCUUAAUACCUCUGAUCUCAAUACUGAUGUUGCUAGAACCUGAAAGCAAAAUGUCAGACUGGUAGUGCCUCAAGUACAACUAGACUGAAGACAAAUUAUUCUCCAUCUGGGAUUUAAGAAAUCAGAUGAAAAUACAUAAAGAGAAAGUGCUUCAGUGUUCCUGUAUCAUUAUGGAAAUGUUAUGUAAUUUAUCAGUAUUAGAGUUUUUCAAAGACCACAUUCUUUGUGCCAGAUAGUGCGUAUUUAAAAUGCCAUUAAUAAGUCAUGAAUUUUAAUCCAAAGGGACGUAUAUUGAAUAGUCUGAGCUACUGCUUCACCCACGUACACCUGUAUGGAACCAAAUACCUGGUUGUGGAUAACAGGUGUCUCCAGAAAGCUGCUUGAUUCUGCUGUAAAGACCUAUGGAGAGUAACUGUUCAGCAACGAUGGUUUUCUCUGGUAAAUGGUCUGAACCUGUUGGCUAUACUCCCACAGCAGAAAUUGAUCUCAAAUGGAUGUAGAAUAGAGUGCUCAUAUCCAGUUGAUUCUGGUGCCUGAUUCUGGACCACUUGAGCAAUCAGUGUGCAGAGGCAGUUCAGGGGGAAUAUUCGAUUUAUGAGACGUUUGCUGCUGUCACACAUGCAAUCAAGUGUGCAUUGUCAGUGACAAGUGACAUGGUGCCCUGUUGAGACUGUCCCACAUCCUUGGCAGAGUGAGCUGCUUUUGUGGGUCCCACAGCUGCAUGUGUAUUGCUGCAUUUUGGUGAAACUUGGUCUGGUGCAUG